CCUACGGGCGGCAGCAGUGGGGAAUAUUGGACAAUGGGCGAAAGCCUGAUCCAGCCAUGCCGCGUGUGUGAAGAAGGCCUUCGGGUUGUAAAGCACUUUCAGUGGGGAAGAAAGCCUUGGGGCUAAUACCCUCGAGGAAGGACAUCACCCACAGAAGAAGCACCGGCUAACUCCGUGCCAGCAGCCGCGGUAAUACGGAGGGUGCGAGCGUUAAUCGGAAUUACUGGGCGUAAAGCGCGCGUAGGCGGUCUGAUAAGCCGGUUGUGAAAGCCCCGGGCUCAACCUGGGAACGGCAUCCGGAACUGUCAGGCUAGAGUGCAGGAGAGGAAGGUAGAAUUCCCGGUGUAGCGGGGAAAUGCGUAGAGAUCGGGAGGAAUACCAGUGGCGAAGGCGGCCUUCUGGACUGACACUGACGCUGAGGUGCGAAAGCGUGGGUAGCAAACAGGAUUAGAUACCCCAGUAGUC
rnacentral:rRNA from 1 species